UACGGGGGGGGGCAAGCGUUGUUCGGAAUUACUGGGCGUAAAGGGCUCGUAGGUGGCCAACUAAGUCAGACGUGAAAUCCCUCAGCUUAACUGGGGGAACUGCGUCUGAUACUGGAUGGCUUGAGUUUGGGAGAGGGAUGCGGAAUUCCAGGUGUAGCGGUGAAAUGCGUAGAUAUCUGGAGGAACACCGGUGGCGAAGGCGGCAUCCUGGACCGAUACUGACGCUGAGGAGCGAAAGCCAGGGGAGCAAACGGG
rnacentral:rRNA from 1 species